UGGGGAAUCUUGGACAAUGGGCGCAAGCCUGAUCCAGCCAUGCCGCGUGAGCGAUGAAGGCCUUAGGGUUGUAAAGCUCUUUCACCGGUGAAGAUAAUGACGGUAGCCGGAGAAGAAGUCCCGGCUAACUCCGUGCCAGCAGCCGCGGUAAUACGGAGGGGACUAGCGUUGUUCGGAAUUACUGGGCGUAAAGAGUUCGUAGGCGGACUAGCAAGUUAGAGGUGAAAUCCCAGGGCUCAACCUUGGAACUGCCUUUAAAACUGCUAGUCUAGAGACCGGAAGAGGUUAGGGGAAUACCUAGUGUAGAGGUGAAAUUCGUAGAUAUUAGGUGGAACACCAGUGGCGAAGGCGCCUAACUGGUCCGGUACUGACGCUGAGGAACGAAAGCGUGGGGAGCAAACAGGAUUAGAUACCCUGGUAGUCCACGCCGUAAACGAUGAGUGCUAGAUGUUGGGAUUUUCGGAUUUCAGUGUCGCAGCUAACGCAUUAAGC
rnacentral:rRNA from 1 species